rnacentral:rRNA from 1 species
CCUACGGGUGGCAGCAGUGGGGAAUAUUGCACAAUGGAGGAAACUCUGAUGCAGCAACGCCGCGUGGAGGAUGACACUUUUCGGAGCGUAAACUCCUUUUAUAUAGGAAGAUAAUGACGGUACUAUAUGAAUAAGCACCGGCUAACUCCGUGCCAGCAGCCGCGGUAAUACGGAGGGUGCAAGCGUUACUCGGAAUCACUGGGCGUAAAGAGCGUGUAGGCGGGUUAUUAAGUCAGAAGUGAAAUCCUAUGGCUCAACCAUAGAACUGCUUUUGAAACUGGUGCGCUAGAGUCUCGGAGAGGUUGGCGGAAUUCCAGGUGUAGGAGUGAAAUCCGUAGAUAUCUGGAGGAACACCGGUGGCGAAGGCGGCCAACUGGACGAGUACUGACGCUGAGGUACGAAAGCGUGGGUAGCAAACAGGAUUAGAUACCCCAGUAGUC